rnacentral:rRNA from 1 species
AACGAACGCUAUCGGUAUGCUUAACACAUGCAAGUCGGGCGGACUAAUUAGGGCUUGCUCCAAUUAGUUAGUGGCAGACGGGUGAGUAACACGUGGGAAUCUGCCCAUCAGUACGGAAUAACUUUUAGAAAUAAAAGCUAAUACCGUAUAUUCUCUACAGAGGAAAGAUUUAUCGCUGAUGGAUGAGCCCGCGUCAGAUUAGGUAGUUGGUGAGGUAACGGCUCACCAAGCCGACGAUCUGUAGCUGGUCUGAGAGGAUGAUCAGCCACACUGGGACUGAGACACGGCCCAGACUCCUACGGGAGGCAGCAGUGGGGAAUAUUGGACAAUGGGCGAAAGCCUGAUCCAGCAAUACCGAGGGAGUGAUAAAGGCCCUAGGGUUGUAAAGCUCUUUUAGCAAGGAAGAUAAUGACGUUACUUGCAGAAAAAGCCCCGGCUAACUCCGU